rnacentral:rRNA from 1 species
AUGGCGGACAGCAUGCAAGAGUGGCCGGAGGCCGUCGUCCGCGUGCAGGCGGUCGCAGAGAGCGACGUGGCCGCCAUCCCGGGCUGCUACGUCAAGCAACCGCGCGACCGCCCAGACCACGUCCUCCACGAGCCCUCCGACAUGAGCAUUCCGGUCAUCGACCUCGCCUGCCUCCUCGCUGGCCGCACCGACAGCUUGGCCACCGACGCCGUUGCCGCGGCGUGCCGGGACUGGGGCUUCUUCCAGGUGGUGAACCACGGGGUGGCGCCGGAGCUGAUGCGCGCGGCGCGGGAGGCCUGGCGCGGCUUCUUCCGGCUGCCCAUCCCGGCCAAGCAGCACUACGCCAACCUGCCGCGGACGUACGAGGGGUACGGCAGCCGGAUCGGCGUUCAGAAGAGCGCCACCCUCGACUGGGGAGACUACUUUUUCCUCCACCUCGCGCCGGAGGACGCCAAGAGCCCCGAUAAGUACUGGCCACAUCCCGGUAUCUGCAAAGAGGUGUCGGAGUACGGGCAGGAGGUGGUGAAUUUGUGCGAGCUGCUUAUGAAGGUGUUGUCGGUUAGCCUGGGGCUGGACGAGGCGAGGUUCCAGGAGGCGUUCGGCGGGGGGACUAACUACUACCCACGGUGCCCGCAGCCGGGCCUGACGCUGGGCCUUUCAGCGCACUCCGAGCCAGGUGUCCUCACUGUGCUCCUACCCGACGAGCACGUUCGCGGCCUGCAGGUCCGCCGCGCAGAUGGGUCACCGUGCAGCCUGUCAACGACGACGCUUUCAUCGUCAACGUUGGCGACCAGAUCCAGAUAUUGA